ensembl:misc_RNA Metazoa_SRP Metazoan signal recognition particle RNA
GCCAGGCGUGGUGGUGCGCGCCUGUAAUCCCAGCUACUUGGGAGGCUGAGGCAGGAGAAUCGCUUGAACCCAGGAGGCGAUGGUUGCAGUGAUCCAAGAUCGCAUCAUUGCACUCCAGCCUGGGCAAGAGAGUGAGACUCUGUCUCAA